GACGAACGCUGGCGGCGUGCCUAAUACAUGCAAGUAGGACGCAGUUGCGAACGGGUGAGUAACGCGUAGGUAACUGCCUAUUAGAGGGGGAUAACUAUUGGACACGAUAGCUAAUACCGCAUACUAGUAGCUGGACCUGCGUUGUAUUAGCUAGUAGGUAGGGUAAUGGCCUACCUAGGCGACGAUACAUAGCCGACCUGAGAGUGUGAUCUGCCACACUGGACCUGAGACACGGCCCAGACUCCUACUGGGAGCAGCAGUAGGGAAUUUUCUGCAAUGGGGGGAACCCUGACCGAGCAACGCCGCGUUAGUGAAGAAGGUUUUCGGAUCGUAAAGCUCUGUUGUUAAGGAAGCGGUACUUAACCAGAAAGGGACGGCUAACUACGUGCCAGCAGCCGCGGUAAUAC
rnacentral:rRNA from 1 species